UUUAGGGGAGAGAUUGUAAGUGGGAGGGCCAGGAAAGAAGCCAAGCAGAAUGAUCUUGCUUUUGAAUCCAUCUUCAGCAGGUCAGAGAGCAGCUCUCCUCGACGAGAGAGAAAGAAAAGCUCAAAGAAGAAGAAGCACAGGUACGAGGUGGGACUACUUGAAUGAUUGGAGAAGGUUUGCUGAAUUCAGGCAGAGGUGUUUCUUAUGUUUUUUCUUUUUUUUCCAACAGGUCAGAAUCUGAGUCCAAGAAACGUAAGCAUAGGUCUCCCACUCCAAAGAGCAAACGUAAAUCUAAGGACAAAAAGCGAAAGCGGUGAGUGAAUUUGUGGGGAAUUUGCUUAGGAAGUAAGUGAACACCACCUUAGUGGGAGGGGGUUGAAUGAGUUACGUCCCUGACUGGUAAAGGGUUGAGGGAUAGGUGAGGAGAAUCCAGGGCAGGUACAGCAGUACCCUGAGCUG
rnacentral:sRNA from 1 species